rnacentral:rRNA from 1 species
UGCCCACUGAUAUUAUAUUAAAGGGCUGCAGUAUUUUGACUGUACAAAGGUAGCAUAAUCAUUAGUCAUUUAAUUGAUGACUUGUAUGAAUGAUUGGAUGAAAUAUAAACUGUCUUUUGAAUAAAUUAUAGAAUUUAAUUUUUUAUUUAAAAAGUUAAAAUAAUUUAAAAAGACGAGAAGACCCUAUAGAGUUUUAUUUUACUUUAAAUUGAGAUUUUUUAUAAGUUUAGUAAUUUAAAUUUAAUGUGAAAUUUUAUUGGGGUGAUAAAAAAAUUAAAUUAACUUUUUUUUUAUAUUGUACAUAAAUAAGUGAUUUAUUGAUCCAGUAAUAUUGAUUAAAAGAAAAAAUUACCUUAGGGAUAACAGCGUAAUUUUUCUUUUUAGUUCAAAUAAGAAGAAGAGUUUGCGACCUCGAUGUUGGAUUAAGAUAAAAUUUAAAUGUAGAAGUUUAAAAUUUUUGA